GUUUAAAGAGAAAAUUUCUCUCUAAGCUUUGGAAGUUUUUAAGUUUUUUGGCAUAGUUUGAGGUCACUCUCUCUCAUUUGAAUUGGGUGUACAAAGUUUUUUAUGUGGCAAUUUUUGCAGGUUGGGUCAUUCUUGUGAAAGCUGCAGUUAACUUGGAAUGACAGUGAAGCUCUGGUAUGGAUUGGGGGGAGAGCAACGUAUGUUGAGGAGUUCUCUAGCUAUUUUGGGCUGACCCAAGUAUGAGAGACUGAAACCCCUUCAUUCCCUACUUGUGGAUGUUGUUGUUGGCGAGUUUGUUUCUUUGUGUGGUCCGGCGGAUAGCUGAGGUCUUAGUUCCGUAUGGUGGUAGGAAGUGUGUAGACAUUUGCUGCUUGCCUUGCUGCUUCUGAUUGCUUUCUUCCUCAGUCUCGGCACCAACUCCAACUUUGGGUGGUCCAUGAAGCUGCUGGCAUUAUGGGUGGUUUUCAGCUUUUUCUAUGCUUAUGUGUGAUAUUGCUGUUAGGUGGCAUUGCCAUGGGUAAUUUCUUAUGUAUUGUGGGCUGGAAGUUUCUUUGAGUUUGGAUCCUCGUAAGGGUUGGUUGGGCCUUUGCUUUAAUGUAUUUUAUCUGCUUGUAAUCUUUUCCAAUGGGCUUGGCGAUACAAUCCUAGCAUGUUAAAAAAGAGUUGCAAAAAUUUUGUUGUCGUUUGCUCAGAGGCGUAUAGGAUACAGUAAUUCGCUUGCCAAAUAGGUCAACAAGUUAAAGCCCAAUCCUGCCUUAUUAAAGCAAACUAUACAUGACAAGUUAGGGUUUUAGUUCUCGACUCCAUUAUCAGGAGAAUAAAUCUCAAAAUUUCUCUGAGAAAAAUUGCUCAGUAUUUGCUAAUUUGAUUCCUUAGAUUGUUAUUACUUAUUACGUUAUAAAUGAGAAUUCAAUUUUUGGCUUUCUUUCUUUCUUACUUUCUUUUUAU
rnacentral:misc_RNA from 1 species